AACGAACGCUGGCGGCAUGCCUAACACAUGCAAGUCGAACGAGAUCUUCGGGUCUAGUGGCGCACGGGUGCGUAACGCGUGGGAAUCUGCCCUUUGCUUCGGAAUAACAGUUGGAAACGACUGCUAAUACCGGAUGAUGACGAAAGUCAAAAGAUUUAUCGCCAGAGGAUGAGCCCGCGUAGGAUUAGCUAGAUGGUGUGGUAAAGGCGCACCAAGGCGACGAUCCUUAGCUGGUCUGAGAGGAUGAUCAGCCACACUGGGACUGAGACACGGCCCAGACUCCUACGGGAGGCAGCAGUGGGGAAUAUUGGACAAUGGGCGAAAGCCUGAUCCAGCAAUGCCGCGUGAGUGAUGAAGGCCUUAGGGUUGUAAAGCUCUUUUACCCGGGAUGAUAAUGACAGUACCGGGAGAAUAAGCUCCGGCUAACUCCGUGCCAGCCGCCGCAGUAA
rnacentral:rRNA from 1 species